GUCGGGAAUAUUGCACAAUGGAGGAAACUCUGAUGCAGUGACACCGCGUAUAGGAAGAAGGUCUUAGGAUUGUAAGCUAUUGUCGUGUGAGAAGAAAAUGACCAUCACAGGAGGAAGCCCUGGCUAAAUAUGUGCCAGCAGCCGCGGUAAUACAUAUGGGGCGAGCGUUAUCCGGAUUUAUUGGGUGUAAAGGGUGCGUAGGCGGGAAAAUAAGUCAGUAUGUGAAAUCCCUCGGCUCAACUGAGGAACUGCAACUGAAACUAUUUUUCUUGAGUGUUGAAGGGGAAAGUGGAAUUCCUAGUGUAGCGGUGAAAUGCGUAGAGAUUAGGAGGAACACCAGUGGCGAAGGCGACUUUCUGGGCAACAACUGACGCUGAGGCACGAAAGUGUGGGGAGCAAACAGGAUUAGAAACCCCGGUAGUCC
rnacentral:rRNA from 1 species